rnacentral:snoRNA from 1 species
AUAAAUGAUGAACAACGGGUCUACUGAGGCCUUUCCGACGGGAAAGAUCAAUGAGGAACCGUUGGAGCACUGAUA